AUGGAUUCGUUGAUAAGGAAAGUAAACUUGGAAACUUCAAAGAGAGGCUCUGGUUGGUGGAAAGAGUCAAGUAAGAAAAGUUGAAAAAUGGCCUUGGAGAAUAACUUGUCGAUAAGUAGGCAAGUUCGGAAAUGUCUGACCGUUAAAACGGACAACCAAUCUCUCGUAAAGAGAUGUUGGAUCGAGGGAAGGAAACUUCCGAAUAAAGGUGGUACCACGAUACGUCGUCCUUUUA
rnacentral:ncRNA from 1 species